CGAACUUGGAGAUAGCUGGUUCUCUCCGAAAUAGCUUUAGGGCUAGCGUCGAUGUUAAGUCUCUUGGAGGUAGAGCACUGUUUGGGUGAGGGGUCCAUCCCGGAUUACCAAUCUCAGAUAAACUCCGAAUGCCAAUGAGAUAUAAUCGGCAGUCAGACUGCGAGUGCUAAGAUCCGUAGUCGAAAGGGAAACAGCCCAGACCACCAGCUAAGGUCCCAAAAUAUAUGUUAAGUGGAAAAGGAUGUGGGGUUGCACAGACAACUAGGAUGUUAGCUUAGAAGCAGCUAUUCAUUCAAAGAGUGCGUAAUAGCUCACUAGUCGAGUGACCCUGCGCCGAAAAUGUACCGGGGCUAAAACAUAUUACCGAAGCUGUGGAUACCUUUAUAGGUAUGGUAGGAGAGCGUUCUAUGUGCGAAGAAGGUGUACCGUGAGGAGUGCUGGAGCGCAUAGAAGUGAGAAUGCCGGUAUGAGUAGCGAAAGACAGGUGAGAAUCCUGUCCACCGUAAGACUAAGGUUUCCAGGGGAAGGCUCGUCCGCCCUGGGUUAGUCGGGACCUAAGGAGAGACCGAAAGGUGUAUCCGAUGGACAACAGGUUGAUAUUCCUGUACUAGAGCCGAGAAAAGCUUCUAGCGUUAAUUAUACUCUACCCGUACCGCAAACCGACACAGGUAGUCGAGGCGAGUAGCCUCAGGUGAGCGAGAGAACUCUCGUUAAGGAACUCGGCAAAAUGGCCCCGUAACUUCGGGAGAAGGGGCGCUGACUGAUGGUCAGCCGCAGUGAAUAGGCCCAAGCAACUGUUUAUCAAAAACACAGCUCUCUGCUAAAUCGUAAGAUGAUGUAUAGGGGGUGACGCCUGCCCGGUGCUGGAAGGUUAAGAGGAGUGCUUAGCGUAAGCGAAGGCAUGAAUUGAAGCCCCAGUAAACGGCGGCCGUAACUAUAACGGUCCUAAGGUAGCGAAAUUCCUUGUCGGGUAAGUUCCGACCCGCACGAAAGGCGUAAUGAUUUGGGCACUGUCUCAACGAGAGACUCGGUGAAAUUUUAGUACCUGUGAAGAUGCAGGUUACCCGCGACAGGACGGAAAGACCCCAUGGAGCUUUACUGCAGUUUGAUAUUGAGUAUCUGUACCACAUGUACAGGAUAGGUAGGAGCCUAUGACCUCGGGACGCCAGUUUCGAGUGAGGCGUUGUUGGGAUACUACCCUUGUGUUAUGGCUACUCUAACCCAGAUAGGUUAUCCCUAUCGGAGACAGUGUCUGACGGGCAGUUUGACUGGGGCGGUCGCCUCCUAAAAGGUAACGGAGGCGCCCAAAGGUUCCCUCAGAAUGGUUGGAAAUCAUUCGCAGAGUGUAAAGGUAUAAGGGAGCUUGACUGCGAGAGCUACAACUCGAGCAGGGACGAAAGUCGGGCUUAGUGAUCCGGUGGUUCCGUAUGGAAGGGCCAUCGCUCAACGGAUAAAAGCUACCCUGGGGAUAACAGGCUUAUC
rnacentral:rRNA from 1 species